GACGAACGCUGGCGGCGUGCUUAACACAUGCAAGUCGAACGGAAAGGCCCUGCUUGCAGGGUACUCGAGUGGCGAACGGGUGAGUAACACGUGGGUGGUCUGCCCUGCACUUCGGGAUAGCUUGGGAAACUGGGUCUAAUACCGGAUAGGAGCCAUCUUUAGUGUGGUGGUUGGAAAGUUUUUUCGGUGUAGGAUGAGCUCGCGGCCUAUCAGCUUGUUGGUGGGGUAAUGGCCUACCAAGGCGGCGACGGGUAGCCGGCCUGAGAGGGUGUACGGCCACAUUGGGACUGAGAUACGGCCCAGACUCCUACGGGAGGCAGCAGUGGGGAAUAUUGCACAAUGGGCGCAAGCCUGAUGCAGCGACGCCGCGUGGGGGAUGAAGGCCUUCGGGUUGUAAACUCCUUUCGCUAGGGACGAAGCUUUUUUGUGACGGUACCUAGAUAAGAAGCACCGGCUAACUACGUG
rnacentral:rRNA from 1 species